GAUGAACGCUGGCGGCGUGCCUAAUACAUGCAAGUCGAGCGAACGGACGAGAAGCUUGCUUCUCUGAUGUUAGCGGCGGACGGGUGAGUAACACGUGGAUAACCUACCUAUAAGACUGGGAUAACUUCGGGAAACCGGAGCUAAUACCGGAUAAUAUUUUUAACCGCAUGGUUCAAAAGUGAAAGACGGUCUUCCUGUCACUUAUAGAUGGAUCCGCGCUGCAUUAGCUAGUUGGUAAGGUAACGGCUUACCAAGGCAACGAUGCAUAGCCGACCUGAGAGGGUGAUCGGCCACACUGGAACUGAGACACGGUCCAGACUCCUACGGGAGGCAGCAGUAGGGAAUCUUCCGCAAUGGGCGAAAGCCUGACGGAGCAACGCCGCGUGAGUGAUGAAGGUCUUCGGAUCGUAAAACUCUGUUAUUAGGGAAGAACAUAUGUGUAAGUAACUGUGCACAUCUUGACGGUACCUAAUCAGAAAGCCACGGCUAACUACGUG
rnacentral:rRNA from 1 species